CUGGCCUCAGGUGAUCCUCCCACCUUGACUUCCCAGAGUACUGAAAUUAUAGGUGCAAGCCAGCACACCUGACCCUGGACUCUUACUUAGUACCAGCCAGUGCUCUAAGAGAUUUACUUGGAUUAACUCAUUUAAUCCUCAAAAUAAAACCAUGAGGUAUUGACUCAACUGGCUUUGUAUGCUGGGCACCACUUUGCAAACAGCUUACAGGAUGGACUGCAGUCCUCACAACGAUCUUCAAAGAGUGAUUCUGCCCCAUGCCAAACCCUUUCGCGAUGAUUGUCUCAUGUGACGCUUACAAUUCUGGGAGCCAGGCAGGACAGAUAGAGUGAUCAUCUCCAUUUUAUGGAUGAGGAAAUUGAUCCCCAAGAGUUGAAGUGACUUGCCCAAGGACAUGGUGAGUAAGGAGUCUGGACUUCCCGCAGGUUUGCUUGACUCUGAACUCCAGGUUCUGUCCAUGGCCCUGAGCUGCCAUUCCCCUGAGCUCCACACCCCACACCCCUCACCCCUCCAGAAGGAGCUAAGGGCAGAUUCUCCUCCCUUAUCCUCCAAGAAGUCAGGGGCUUCUUGCUCUGUUUGAAAUAAAAAGCAACUGCGUCUGCGCACCAGUGGCAGAGACGGACUUUGUACAAGCAUCGGGGUGAAAUGAACAUUCUUCAGGCAUGAGAUGUUACCUCUCCCCAUGUCUGGGUUAGGGUCCCCGCUUCAUGCUCUCACAACUCCUGAAUUUUGGCACCAUAACCCCAUCACACUGUACUGGAUUGGCUAGCAGGCUGGCUUACCAAUAGCCUAGAAUUUCCUUGACACGUCAAGAAAAAUCUCCCUGGUGCCCACUGGUCAAGCAUUUAGACUGUCCCCACCCACCUGCGUUCUGCAACAAGACCCCCUCUCCUGCAGGUGGCCUGCUCCCCCUGUACCUACCCAUCAGGUGAUGCCAGCCACCAAUGUGUCAGGAUAACCACACGGGCUUUCUUGGAGGCAGCAGUUUCAGUGAGGCAUUUUUUUGGUGUGUUUAUUAUACAAUUUUAACACCUAUAUUUUAAUUUUAGAAUAGUUUUAGAUGUACAGAAA
rnacentral:lncRNA from 1 species